rnacentral:lncRNA from 1 species
UGGAAAUUAAACUUCAAUCAAUCCUUUCGAUUUAUUUCCAAGCAUUUUGAUAUUCUAUUUCUUGUACAUUACAAAGGUAAGGUAUGAACAAGAUUACAAAACUCAAAGCACAAUUUCAUAUACAUAAUAAUAAUAAUAAUCCCCAACCAAUUUCUCUAAUCUUGAUACAUCAUCAUAAUCAUGUCCACCCUUUACACACCAUUGAUAAAACCCCACCACCAAUUUCAUCAAUACAAUCAUCAUCCACACAUCCAUGAUGAAUUUGUUAAAGCAAUCAUCUUUGACCCAUCAAAUUUAAUCUAAUUUUUUAAACUUAUCAUGUAAAUAUUUAUUAAUUCACACUUAAAUUCGUCAAGAACACAAAGUAAGCAAACAUAAAUCAUCGAUAUUUUAUUUUUUUGUUAUGUGACAUAAUUUCACAUAAAAAUAAAUUAUAAAAAUAAUCAUAUUAUAUAUAUAUAUAUAUAUAUAUUAAAUUUUAGACAUGAUGACAAUAAUGACAUCAUUCUUGGUUCCACUCCUGAAUGAGACGUGUAUAGUAUGACUCUUGAGGCUUUUAUGGCGAUCGCUUUCUCUGCAAGCUUGUUGACCGGACCAUAGAUUCGGGUAUAAGAACACUGGGAUCGGACCUUGACCUAUAGAGAGGCAUACCUGCGGUGGAUUCUCCGACGUGGGGCAUUUCGCUGCCCAUAACCAUCAAGGUUGGUUGCUUAUCUUCGGCAUUUGCAAACCCUUGGCACAAUAUGAGGGUCGCUAGGAACAUAGCCAUGAAGCCUCCAGGGGUUUUCUUAAUAGAAGAAGCCGCAGCCAUCUCUGAGCCUAAGGAUUUUGGACAUACAAAUGGAAUUGAAAGGUGGAAUUGGGAAGCAGAUAAGUAAGGGGAAAAGAUCUUUGGUUUUAUACCAAUUAUU